UGCGUCAUAAAGAAGCGCCGCUGCUGCUGGUGUUUUGUUUUGAAGUGUUGAUCGUUACGCUGGUGGUCAAACAUGGGCAAGUCUUUUGCUAAUUUCAUGUGCAAAAAAAGAUUUCCAUCCUGCAUCAAAAUCCAACAUAAAGAAGGAGGAACUGAUGCAGGCUUACCUGAAGGAGCAGGACACAUACAACAGCAGGUUAACCUUAGAGGAGCUGCACACAGCACUCACAUGUGCUGCUGGCAAGACUUCAGUUCAUUAAAUACUGCUGAUGGGAGAUGAUCGUGUGAAGAGUGGCCUUAAUUUCAUGUAUGAAGCACCUCCAGGAGCAUCUAAAGGUGAUAAACUUGCGAUAAAGUCAUUCAUAGGAGACUAAAGAGGUCAUGUUCAUUUACAUUAUGUUAGAGUUUGUUGUUGAUUAUUAGUGAUUGUGCUCUGUCACACUUUUAAAUCUGAAUAUUAAACUCGUCAAGCGUGUUUAACCCCAUAAAGCCUACUGCAUUAUAUUUAAUAGACGCAUGUAAAUCAUCACCAUGAUCAAAUUUCAUCAAAAGCACAAAGUUCUACAUGCCUUCUGUUGUCUGAUUAAUAGUUUAUCAUUGUUUUAUCAAGAAAUAACAUCCCCUUCACGUCGUCAUACGCAUGUUGUUUUGCUGUGAAAUCUUUACUGUAAACAUAAGAAUACAUUUUAAAUUGUUAACAGUAUUUCAAGGAUGAACAUUUCCGGGACUGAAGCAACUUGGG